CAUCCCUAGCGCUCUGUGUAGGUGGUGACGUGGGAGGGGGUGAAAUGCAACCUUUAUUUUCCUAACUGCCUGUCAUCCAAUUCCCCGUUUCCCUCUGACUUGCAUGAGUGAUGAGGUCAUCCCGGCGCAGAAAAAUCCAACUCCUAUUUUUCAGACCCAAUAAAGGCCGGCAUUGUGUGUCUGCGUAAACACAGGCCAGACGGGCAGGGCGGCGGGGACACGAGUGGCCCGCCCUCUGGCGGUCGCAGGAGACGAUGGUGCCCCGAGCUCCACCGCCCCGAACAACGGCAGGGAGGCGGAGAGGGUGCGUGCUAAAAUGGUAUGUUACUAGGAAGUGGAUGAAGUUUACAGCUGCGUUUCCUCAUUCCCCCUUAUUGGGAUAUGGAUCUCUCACACCGCCAGGGCCUGACUGGUUAAUUUUGCCCACAAAAUGCUUUCCAGGCCCAAGUGGUGAGCAUACAGAGCUUAUGUCUACACUUAUGUCUGUGGUCCCACUUUUACACUUGUGCACGUUUUUUCUUAAUUAA
ensembl:lncRNA